rnacentral:rRNA from 1 species
CAGUAGCCGCGGUAAUACGAAGGGUGCAAGCGUUACUCGGAAUUACUGGGCGUAAAGCGUGCGUAGGUGGUGGUUUAAGUCCGUUGUGAAAGCCCUGGGCUCAACCUGGGAAUUGCAGUGGAUACUGGGUCACUAGAGUGUGGUAGAGGAUAGUGGAAUUUCCGGUGUAGCAGUGAAAUGCGUAGAGAUCGGAAGGAACAUCUGUGGCGAAGGCGACUAUCUGGGCCAACACUGACACUGAGGCACGAAAGCGUGGGGAGCAAACAGGAUUAGAGACCCGCGUAGUCCCUGUCUCUUAUAC